rnacentral:rRNA from 1 species
CAGUAGCCGCGGGAAUACGAAGGGGGCUAGCGUUGUUCGGAAUUACUGGGCGUAAAGCGCACGCAGGCGGCUCGAUAAAUUAGGAGUGAAAGCCUUGGGCUUAACCUGAGAAUUGCUUUUAAGACUGUCGAGCUAGAAUCCAGAAGAGGGUAGUGGAAUUCCGAGUGUAGAGGUGAAAUUCGUAGAUAUUCGGAAGAACACCAGUGGCGAAGGCGACUACCUGGUCUGGCAUUGACGCUCAUGUGCGAAAGCGUGGGGGGCAAACAGGAUUAGAUACCCGCGUAGUCCCUGUCUCUUAUAA